GGACAGAUGGCCGAGCGGUCUAUGGCGCUACGUUCAGGUCUUCCUUUUCAAAAGGGAUCACCAUUCGUAGUCUCGAAAGGGGCGUGGGUUCGAAUCCCACUCUGUUCA